UCCAGCAGCAGCAAGCAAUCACUAUUCGAGUGCUUAUCGCCAACAUUUCACAGCAAGCUCAGCAGCAGAACCACCUUCAACCACAACAUCAGAAAAUUAAGAUUUCUUCCAGACCAUGACCAUCAUCCUAAAGGUCGGUAGCAAUAACGUUCAACCGACGGUACAACCUGGUCAGCAACCGCAAUUAGUGCAAUAGAUCCAACCCAAAUGUAGAUUUACCAACUGCAAAAAAGAGCAACAGCACAUUCAAACACUAGCAGCAGCAUACUAUACUGUACCAUGCGGUGUGCAGGACUUUUUUUAUUCAGUUGGUGCGGCAAGAUCGAACACCAACAACAUAAUAUCAUGGUAAUCACCCAGCAAGAGAACGCUGUGAUAAUGGGCCAACAGAAAACACAACAUCAAGAUGCUCGGAAAGGACUUUCUCUUUCGAACAAACAUAAUGGCACGUCAUCUUCAAUCGGCUAACCGUUUGGAAUAAGCGCUCAUCAUCGGUUUCAUGGCAGGGAAGUGAGCAGGCAAAAGAAGGCAUCGUUUUUUCCGCAAGGUCGCUCUGGUCAAAAUUUCAGCGAAUUGCAAGGAAUAAACCACCCGAGGGACAGUACCCGUGCUGAUUCAGGACGAUUUCCCAUACUUUGUACCUUGCUAUUGAAUUUUAAUACCCGAUCGAAACGAUGGCAAGCGCUGCCGAUAACUGGGUCAAAAAGACGACGGAUCAAGAAAUUUCUGCACUCGGUUAGCGAACUGAGUACAUAUCAUCAAGGAUAAGGAUUCAGAGCCGGCGGCUGGCAGUCCAGAGAAAGAGAAUGCGGAAAAACCUCGUCCACCGGCAGUAGAACCAAAGCUGCACCUG